rnacentral:rRNA from 1 species
AAGAGUUUGAUCCUGGGCUCAGGAUUAACGCUGGCGGCGCGCCUAAUACAUGCAAGUCGAACGGAAACCUUCGGGUUUUAGUGGCGAACGGGUGAGUAACACGUAAGCAACCUGCCUUUAAGACGUGGAUAACAAUUGGAAACAGUUGCUAAGACAGGAUAGGAAAUUAAGAGGCAUCUUUUAAUUUUUAAAAGACCUUUUUCGAAAGGUAUACUUAAAGAGGGGCUUGCGCCACAUUAGUUAGUUGGUAAGGUAAAGGCUUACCAAGACGAUGAUGUGUAGCUGGACUGAGAGGUCGAACAGCCACAUUGGGACUGAGACACGGCCCAAACUCCUACGGGAGGCAGCAGUAAGGAAUUUUUGGCAAUGGAGGAAACUCUGACCGAGCGACGUCGCGUGAACAAUGAAGUACUUCGGUAUGUAAAGUUCUUUUAUUGAAAAAGAAAAAAUAGUGGAAAAACUAUCUUGACAUUAUUCAAUGAAUAAGCCCCGGCUAAUUAUGUGCCAGCAGCCGCGGUAAUACAUAAGGGGCGAGCGUUAUCCGGAAUUAUUGGGCGUAAAGGGUGCGUAGGCGGUUUGAUAAGUCUAUAGUUUAAAUGCAGUGCUUAACGCUGUAGCGCUAUAGAAACUGUCUGACUAGAGUUAGAUAGAGGCAAGCGGAAUUCCAUGUGUAGCGGUAAAAUGCGUAAAUAUAUGGAGGAACACCAGAGGCGUAGGCGGCUUGCUGGGUCUUAACUGACGCUGAGGCACGAAAGCGUGGGGAGCAAACAGGAUUAGAUACCCUGGUAGUCCACGCCGUAAACGAUGAGUACUAAGUGUCGGGUUUCGGCUCGGUACUGAAGUUAACACAUUAAGUACUCCGCCUGAGUAGUACGUACGCAAGUAUGAAACUUAAAGGAAUUGACGGGACCCCGCACAAGCGGUGGAUCAUGUUGUUUAAUUCGAAGAUACACGAAAAACCCUACCAGGUCUUGACAUAAUUUUGCGACAUUAUAGAAAUAUAAUGAAGGUUAUCAGAAUUACAGGUGGUGCAUGGUUGUCGUCAGCUCGUGUCGUGAGAUGUUAGGUUAAGUCCUAAAACGAGCGCAACCCUUGUCGUUAGUUGCGACCACGUAAUGGUGAGCACUUUAGCGAGACUGCCAAUGAAAAAUUGGAGGAAGGUGAGGAUUACGUCAAAUCAUCAUGCCCCUUAUGAUCUGGGCUACAAACGUGAUACAAUGGCUGUUACAAAGAGUAGCUACAACGUGAGUUUUUAGCCAAUCUCAAAAAAACAGUCUCAGUUCGGAUUGAAGUCUGCAACUCGACUUCAUGAAGUUGGAAUCGCUAGUAAUCGCGAAUCAGCAUGUCGCGGUGAAUACGUUCUCGGGGUUUGUACACACCGCCCGUCAAACCACGAAAGUUGAUAAUACCCGAAAGCGGUCGCCUAACUUCGUCAGAAGAGGGAGCCGUCUAAGGUAGGAUCGAUGAUUGGGGUUAAGUCGUAACAAGGUAUCCCUACCGGAAGGUGGGGAUGGAUCACCUCCUUUCU